rfam:Arabis alpina cultivar Pajares chromosome 3, whole genome shotgun sequence.
GAUGCAAUGAUGAUUAAAUUGCACGGAGGUGCAUGAAGGGCAGUGGACAAAGCAAUAUCUAUUGUUUUGCCGUGAGCUCUCUUUAAAACGACUUCUCCUUCCACUGAGCAUA